AAGUGUUUGUAAAUAAAUGUUAAUUUUAGACUAUAUUAAUUGGCAAAGACGCAAAUACUCGACGUUUUUGUAAACAUAUAAGUUAUAUAAAGGUGUGUUAUGUUAUGUGACCGACUUAAAGUGUGUGUUACGUUAUGUGUCCGAGUUAAAGUGGAGCUAUUUUAGUUAGAUAAUACCGGACAGGGUUUAGGACUCCGUCUUAAUUAUAAUUGGGACAUUUUUACAAACAAACCUUAUAAAAUACAAUACUAGUGUGCAUUUUGAGACAAAACAAUAGCACUCAUAUGUUAACAGAUGUCAGUAUUUUAGUCAGUGAUAAGUCCUGUCCGAGAAAACCGCCCAAUAGUGUUUACUUCAAUUACGUGUGAUGUCUGAGGGAAACUUGGCAAUUUUAGGGUAUAAAAUCUUUCACCGUGAAGCUUUAUUAUAUUAAACAUGUUAUUUAUGUAUGUGUGUGUGUUUAUAUUCCUCUGUUUAUUAAACCAGAGGGGUGGUGAUGUGGAGAGGCAGACCAGACCACCACCAUACGCGAAGAUGAGCCUCGAGGCUUGACAGUUAUUUUUUCAAACUGAGGAGUUCGGACUCCGGACCGUCAUUUCUGCUUGUUUGUACCCUGAGAUAACCAUGGUUAAUAAAUGGUCAGACACGUCACUGGCUUUAAAAUAUAAACCCCAUUCAUGCAAAAAGAUGCUGCAUGGAAUGACAAUGUGGUUUGGAACAGACUUGGUGAAGAACAUGGAAACAUCUCUUAAUAAAAUGGCCCCAAACAUCAUCAGGAGUGCAAAAGAAGGAAGUAAAAACAUCUCUACGCCAAUCUCAUUGGAGAGGAAACCACAGAAGGUCUGGUGAGGAAUGCUGCACUUAUGUUAUUGCAAGCAUUAUUUCAAGAAAAUCCCAGCUUCCUUUACUGUGUAAAUAGUGAACCCAAAGGUCCCACACCAAUCAUAGUGUUCAACGGCUCUCCUGAUCUUUUCAAAUCUGAAUGUAUCAACUUUAUAAUGGACAAUGUGAACUUAAUAUGUGGAAGACAUUGACAUCACAGGCUGUGGAAUGACUGUGUCACAGGUCGGAGAAGCGGACCGCCCCUGUCGCGGAUCACGCUCCUCCUAGUUCCACCUCGAGGAGGUCCCAAAGCACCCCAAUGACCAGACAAACCAGAGGGGGAGUAUUACGGGGCCAGGGACGUUGGAGGGUUUUCCACGUGACUCCAGCUGGAACACCGCUACAGAGCGUAUCUGGCUGGGUUGGGCACACACCGUCGCGGCGGCCCCUGAUGGCAUCCACAAGGGUCCAAUACCCUCCUAUGCUCCUAGCCGUAGCAGAACUACGUAUUUCAGCACCCGAAGGACUAACAACCCAGCCGGCAUCUGCAGCGUAUAUCCAACGUGAUCAAACUUCACUCUGACAAGUAACUUCCUAUACACAACCACGCCGUCCUUUCGCCCGGACCAGCCCCGCACUCUUUCCGCCCGCUACCUAGCGGUCGCCGGAUCAGCAGAGCCUGCGGACUCUUCGGAGGCUGGUCUUCGUUGUGCUGCCCAAGGCGGAAGUUGACUCGCCUGAAAAUCGACCCUUCCAGUAACUUCUACCUUCUCUCUUUAUAUCCUCCUCCCAGGCCCGUCACUCACACAGCUGUGCCUUGUUUCAGCGAGUGCGGGGAUUCCCGGGGAACCCUGAAGUGCCGGUGUCUGUACAAACCGGUCCGGGCGGAACCUCUUCACUCUCCUUUUGGUUCCGCCCCGCAUAGUCACUCUGUGACAACUGUUUGCAUUUUUUUUUCUCCUCAAUGUUCAAUACCCUUUUGCCAUUAAGCACACAGUGACUUUAAUUUAUAAAAUAUAUGCUUAAGUUUUAAUACCUGUACAAAACAAAUGUACAAUCAACUUGUGUAAAUUGUCAUUCUAUUUAAUAGAUUGUUCAUGAAUUGUCUUUAAAUGCAUUGUGAUUUCGGUAACACUUUACAAUAAAGUUCAUUAGUUAACAUUAGUUAAUGUAUUAACUAACUUGAACAAACCAUAAGCAAUACAUUUGUUACAGUAUUUAUUCAUCUUUGUUAAUGUUAGUUAAUAAAAAUUUAAGCUUUAAUUGCUUGUUCAUGUUAGUUCAGAGUGCAUUAACUAAUGUUAACAAGAUUUUAAUAAAGUCAUUGUUGAAAUUAACAUUAACAAAGAUUAAUAAAGGCUGUAUAAGUGCAGUUCAUUAUUAGUUCAUGUUAACUAAUGUAGCUAACUAAUGUUAACUAAUGAACCUUAUUGUAAAGUGUUACCGUGAUUUCUUUUCAUCAUUUCAGACACAUGUAAAAGUUACUAAAAAUUAAUACUGCAUAUACUGUACAGUAUAUGCGUAAGGGAA